GACGAACGCUGGCGGCGUGCUUAACACGUGCAAGUCGAACGGAAAGGCCCUGCUUUUGUGGGGUGCUCGAGUGGCGAACGGGUGAGUAACACGUGAGUAACCUGCCCUUGACUUUGGGAUAACUUCAGGAAACUGGGGCUAAUACCGGAUAGGAGCUCCUGCUGCAUGGUGGGGGUUGGAAAGUUUCGGCGGUUGGGGAUGGACUCGCGGCUUAUCAGCUUGCUGGUGGGGUAGUGGCUUACCAAGGCUUUGACGGGUAGCCGGCCUGAGAGGGUGACCGGCCACAUUGGGACUGAGAUACGGCCCAGACUCCUACGGGAGGCAGCAGUGGAGAAUAUUGCACAAUGGGCGGAAGCCUGAUGCAGCAACGCCGCGUGCGGGAUGACGGCCUUCGGGUUGUAAACCGCUUUCGCCUGUGACGAAGCGUGAGUGACGGUAAUGGGUAAAGAAGCACCGGCUAACUACGUGCCAGCAGCCGCGGUGAUACGUAGGGUGCGAGCGUUGUCCGGAUUUAUUGGGCGUAAAGGGCUCGUAGGUGGUUGAUCGCGUCGGAAGUGUAAUCUUGGGGCUUAACCCUGAGCGUGCUUUCGAUACGGGUUGACUUGAGGAAGGUAGGGGAGAAUGGAAUUCCUGGUGGAGCGGUGGAAUGCGCAGAUAUCAGGAGGAACACCAGUGGCGAAGGCGGUUCUCUGGGCCUUUCCUGACGCUGAGGAGCGAAAGCGUGGGGAGCGAACAGGCUUAGAUACCCUGGUAGUCCACGCUGUAAACGGUGGGUACUAGGUGUGGGGUCCAUUCCACGGGUUCCGUGCCGUAGCUAACGCUUUAAGUACCCCGCCUGGGGAGUACGGCCGCAAGGCUAAAACUCAAAGGAAUUGACGGGGCCCCGCACAAGCGGCGGAGCAUGCGGACUAAUUCGAUGCAACGCGUAGAACCUUACCUGGGUUUGACAUGGAUCGGGAGCGCUCAGAGAUGGGUGUGCCUCUUUUGGGGUCGGUUCACAGGUGGUGCAUGGCUGUCGUCAGCUCGUGUCGUGAGAUGUUGGGUUAAGUCCCGCAACGAGCGCAACCCUUGUUCACUGUUGCCAGCACGUUAUGGUGGGGACUCAGUGGAGACCGCCGGGGUCAACUCGGAGGAAGGUGGGGAUGACGUCAAGUCAUCAUGCCCCUUAUGUCCAGGGCUUCACGCAUGCUACAAUGGCUGGUACAGAGAGUGGCGAGCCUGUGAGGGUGAGCGAAUCUCGGAAAGCCGGUCUCAGUUCGGAUUGGGGUCUGCAACUCGACCUCAUGAAGUCGGAGUCGCUAGUAAUCGCAGAUCAGCAACGCUGCGGUGAAUACGUUCCCGGG
rnacentral:rRNA from 1 species